GCAAAUUCGGGGUCAAAUGUUGGAUGAAAUCAUCACCAACAAGAUGUACUUUCCGGUAUUGAAGCGUCACAAACAAGAGGAUUGAGCUACGAGUUAGAUAAUACAUCUUGAGAAACCGGUGAAACGGAUAUUGCAGUGAUGAGGAUGGUACAGAAGAUGGUGUCAGUAUUAAACAUGUGAUGUAUGUGAAAUCGAAACCUUAGAAGCUAAGUAUAUUUUUUAAAUGAAAUAUUCUGUAAGAGUUAAUAUUAAGUUUACCGAAAAUGAAUGAAAUUGAUUUUUGUCAUUGGUGUUUUCAGGGAAGAUCGUACGAGGUUUUACGGUGCUGAAAGAAUAUCUGCUUUGAAUUAUUUUCAUUCUCAAGAGAUUAUUUGCAGAGAUUUGCAUCUGAAAAAUCUUUUGCUGGACAAAGAUGGUUAUAUUGAAAUCGCUGAUUUUGGACUAUGUCAAGAAGACAUAACUUAUGGACGAUCAACAAAGAUAUUCUACAGUAAACCAGAAUAUUAAGCUUCAGAAGUUCUAGAGGAUAACGAUUAUGGAGGUGCUGUUGAUUGGUGGAGUAUUGGUG